rnacentral:snoRNA from 1 species
CCCAUUGAUGAUGAAGACCUCAUUGAUCAUGUUCUUGCCGGACUUGGUACUGAGUACAAAUCUGUAGUUGAUGCCAUUAAUGCCCGUGAUACUACAAUUUCCUUUGCUGAGCUUCAUGA